CCCGGCGUCCUCUGCGCGCGCCCGGGAGGAACCGGGGGGAACCGGUGGGAACCGGUCCGCGCCGGCGCCGCGUGGUCGUGGUGGUUGUUGUUUGUUCGCCGCGGAAAUUUACUCAGCGCGGUUUUAUUUUAUUUUAUUUAUUUUUAAUUUUUAAAUCCGGUUUUUUCCGGAUUUUUUUUUUUUGCGGUUCGGUUUUUCUCGGGUUCGGGUCCCGGACGGAUGCGCGCGCAGCCGCAGGAUCGGAAUCCGGUUCCGUGUGGAGGAUCCGCGACAUUCUCUCCUCGUGUGCGCGAAAUCCCGCCGGGGGAAUUCAUCCCGCGUUUGCCUCGCACCCGAGUGCCCCGUACAGGGUGGGAUGGCGCCUGACACGGUGACGGACACGUCGGAGCACACGCGUGACCCGGACACGACCCCGAGGGCCUCGGCGGUGACGUCGUCGUAGCAUCGCCCGUGGCGUGUGCUGAUGCAUGUGCUGACAUGUGGUGUCGGUGAAAGGUGACCGCCGGGCGUUCGUCCACACACACACGGGCCAUGCGUGUGCUGUCAUCGGGCAACAUCACCGUCAUCGCAUGACAUCACCGCAUAUUCUGUCGGUCGUUCUUCUGUACACGUGAUGUAGGUUCCCGUGUUCUGCACGUGUCCUUGUCUUUUUUUUUUCACGUGUUUCAUGGAUUCACACAUUUACUCACGUGUUUUACAGCUCAGCCCAGCUCAUCGUUUAUUUCUACAUACAGACCGGUGGCGUGUGCAGAUCACGCUUUAGCGUGUUCGUUACGCAUUUGGACAUUGAUCACGCGUGUGCGUGGCUGUUUUUUUUCCCUCGCGGUUUAGACAUGCAGAACGAUUUACGUUUUCGUAUGUUUUACGUGUGUGUUUUCCACACGUGUCGUUAGCUCCUGGUUUGUCAUCAUCCUCUGUCACGGGUUCACUUGUACGUUCAGCCGUUUUCAUUCGGUUCAUGUAUUAAAGUCGCUCGGUUUCCCA